AUUGAACGCUGGCGGCAGGCUUAACACAUGCAAGUCGAGCGGAGAUGAGGUGCUUGCACCUUAUCUUAGCGGCGGACGGGUGAGUAAUGCUUAGGAAUCUGCCUAUUAGUGGGGGACAACAUUCCGAAAGGAAUGCUAAUACCGCAUACGUCCUACGGGAGAAAGCAGGGGAUCUUCGGACCUUGCGCUAAUAGAUGAGCCUAAGUCGGAUUAGCUAGUUGGUGGGGUAAAGGCCUCCCAAGGCGACGAUCUGUAGCGGGUCUGAGAGGAUGCUCCCCCACACUGGGACUGCGACACGGCCCAGACUCCUACGGGAGGCAGCAGUGGGGAAUAUUGGACAAUGGGCUCAAGCCUGUUCCAGCCAUGCCGCGUGUGUGAAGAAGGCCUUAUGGUUGUAAAGCACUUUAAGCGAGGAGGAGGCUACUUUAGUUAAUACCUAGAGAUAGUGGACGUUACUCGCAGAAUAAGCACCGGCUAACUCUGUGCCAGCCGCCGCAGUAAUAC
rnacentral:rRNA from 1 species